rnacentral:rRNA from 1 species
AUAUCAAUAAGCGGAGGAAAAGAAACUAACAAGGAUUCCCCUAGUAACUGCGAGUGAAGCGGGAAGAGCUCAAAUUUAAAAUCUGGCGUGCCUCUGGUCGUCCGAGUUGUAGUCUGGAGAAGCGUUUUCCGUGUUGGACCGUGUACAAGUCUCUUGGAACAGGGCGUCAUAGAGGGUGAGAAUCCCGUCUUUGACACGGACUACCAAUGCUUUGUGAUGCGCUCUCAAAGAGUCGAGUUGUUUGGGAAUGCAGCUCAAAAUGGGUGGUAAAUUCCAUCUAAAGCUAAAUAUAGGCGAGAGACCGAUAGCGAACAAGUACCGUGAGGGAAAGAUGAAAAGCACUUUGGAAAGAGAGUUAAACAGUACGUGAAAUUGCUGAAAGGGAAACGCUUGAAGUCAGUCACGUCUGCCAGGACUCAGCCUUGCUUCUGCUUGGUGUACUUUCUGGUUUGACGGGCCAACAUCAAUUUUGACCGUUGGAGAAAGGCUUUGGGAAUGUGGCACCCUCGGGUGUGUUAUAGCCCUUUGUCGUAUACAACGGUUGGGAUUGAGGACCGCAGCACGCCUUCAUGGCCGGGGUUCGCCCACGUACGUGCUUAGGAUGUUGGCAUAAUGGCUUUAAGCGA